AUUGUAAUUCUAACCAGCAAAGGAUCACAAGAAGGUAAACCAGCCUAGGUUGCCCAUAGCUGACUGGCUCAAACCAAGAAAACAAAUAGACGCUUUUCCUAGGAGUUGAACUUGUAACCUUGUGGUUAUCAAGCCAACAGUCUGACCAAUUUGGUCGGGGUUGCUCCCAACAACAUAUAUUAGUCUCUCAAUUUUGAAGCUUUUACCACUUUUAAUCCUUCCGGUGAGUUUUCUAAUCAAACAUAACCUAAAGGCUAGCUAGGCACAUGUUUAUUUUCCAGAAAAUGGCCUAAAAGACAUUAGAUGCUGGUGGUCAGAACCCACAUGCACCACCACCCAUUUUGGCAAAGUUCAUCUUAGUGUAUGGAAUGCACUUAAAGAAAGAAAGUAAGAGUUAGUA